rnacentral:rRNA from 1 species
UACGAAGGGGGCCAGCGUUGUUCGGAAUUACUGGGCGUAAAGCGCACGUAGGCGGAUUAGUAAGUCAGGGGUGAAAUCCCGGGGCUCAACCUCGGAACUGCCUUUGAUACUGCUGAUCUCGAGUCCGGAAGAGGUGAGUGGAAUUCCUAGUGUAGAGGUGAAAUUCGUAGAUAUUAGGAAGAACACCAGUGGCGAAGGCGGCUCACUGGUCCGGUACUGACACUCAAGUGCGAAAGCGUGGGGAGCAAACAGG